GCGACAGCUCCAUCUCCACCUUGCUCUGCACCUUCGUUGUCGCGCUUGGCCCCAUACAGUUCAGCUUCACGUCCAGUUACUCCUUGCCCACUCAUCGCCUUUGCCAUUGGGCAAAUCGCCGAGUUCAUCGGUCCUAAAGGGUCUCUCAUGAUCGCCGCAGUUCCCAAACAUCAUUGGGUGGCUUGCAAUAUCAUUUGCAAAUGACUCCGUAGUUUUGUUCAUGGGCCGAUUGUUGGAAGGGUUUGGGAUUGGUGUGAUUCCUACACAGUCUGUAUCCCUAUUCUCCUAACCUUGUACAAAUUCACUCCAGAGUUCAAACAUGAAUGAUAAUGCGUUUGCUUUCUUACUGUUGUGUUGUUGCUAUGGCCUAUGAUAUGAUUGUUUCCCCUAGCGUAAUCAUAAUCCUACAAUAUUUCUAUCUGUCCGGUCUUUGUAUAGGAA